ensembl:snRNA LOC120097202 U6 spliceosomal RNA
GUGCAAGUUUGGCAGUACGUAUACUAAAGUUGGAACAUACAAAGAUUAGCAUGACCCUUCCGAAGGAUGGCACAUAAGUUGCUGAGGUGUUUAAAUUUUUU